GUACUAUGGUCAGUACUAUGGUCAGUACUAUGGUCAGUACUAUGGUCAGUACUAUGGUCAGUACUAUGGUCAGUACUAUGGUCGUACUAUGUUGCCACUGUUCUGUUCCUCCUAUAUGAACAUCUUCCAGAAACCCUGAAAUACCUGCUAACGUACUUAUGGAAAGACUAGUACUACUGUUGACCCAAAGCUGUGAUUGAAUGUACAUUGUAAUGAAUGUUAUUACGAUGAUAAAUAUAAUGGAUGAUGAUUCCAGGUGGUCUAUAUAUCCUGAUCCCAGAUCUGUUCACCGGCUAUGCUGUCUUACCUACUCCAAUAGUUUUUUCUCCCAUUGUCACACCAGCACAAACAGAUCUGGGACCAGGCUAUGUGUAAUAGGGGUAAGACACCCAUCAACUACAGAAACCUGCUGCGUUUAUAGCCUGAGUGCCAGUCUGUGCCAG
ensembl:lncRNA